CCCUAUAAAUAUGGUCUUUCUCUUGAAAAAAUAGAAGCAUGCAUGAGAGAUUGAAGGAGCUAGAUGAGAAAAUGUUGAUAGAAGAAAGGUUUAGGGACUCCUGUCGUAGGAGAGAUGACGCCUUCUGUUAGGUAAUUAAUAUGUUGCAAAGCCAACUUGAAUUAGCAGUAGCUGUCAUCUUUCCUCGGCUGAAGCCCCUUCACAGAUUUCUGUUCAAUUCCUAACUUGGCUGAGUUAUUUCCAAGGAGCUGCUAAACAAUGGGACCUGGAAAGUCAACUACACAUGCCAUGUUUUACCCCUAGUAGUAGUCUCUAGAACAACAUAUAUACGGGGGAUAUGAUGACAGCCUACAUUUGGAAUCACGUACGAUAGAUUCUUUAAGAAUAAUAAUUUUAAAUUCUCCUCUUGAUUUUAAGGAUCUGUUUAGGAUAAUUCCAAAAACUAUGUUAUAUUUUUUAUAAAAAAAAAACUUUCAAAAGCAUCAUAACAGGAGGAAGGGAUUCUAAUUAUGUUGGCACAGGUGCAUGUAGUAGUUCUUCAAUUUCUUCAUAGUAACAAUGUGUUAUGGUUUUUCGGUUGGUGUGGGAAUGGAAAGGAAUUGUGUGAGAUUCAAAUUGAAAAACCCCUUUUUUUGAGUUGUAACCGAUUUUAAGGAGUGUUGAGUGGGGAAGAGAGAAAGAGAGUGGGGUGCUGAGAAAUUGUUGAGGAGAGAGGUGUGUUUGAAUGGGGAUGGAGAUGAUGUGGUGUGUUGGUUUACUUCUUUAAAGACUCAAGAUGGAACAAUACAGAUGCACCAAGAGUACAACACAAGAGCUUCUUCUUAAUUUUUUAUUCCUUGUUACUUGUUAGCACACUUUUCUUAUAUAAAUUAUAAAUAAAUAAUAAAUAACUAACAACUUGUUAGUA